AUCCGAAACAUUUUCGUUGCCUUAAGGCCUUUGACUAUAUUUGGGCCGGCUAUGUAUUUCCUUUGUUCUUGCCCAUUGAUUUUGAGACAUGCUUCUCUAGAUAACAGUUGAACCGGUGUACCGGACGGUUUAGUUCCCUUUGAAACACUGAAUUAUCUCCAUCAUGUCGGUCUGCUUUGUAGGGACUUAUUCACGUCGGCGUUGUUGUAAUACACGUGACAAAUCGAUGUGAAGAUAAUGGGGUCUCUUAAGUCAUACUUUACCAAAAUAGAUUAGACUUGUCGUCGUCUGUAAUCAGAAGCUCUCGUGGGCCUUUUUAAUCAUACGGCCAAGGAAGAAAAUAUCUUCAUUAUCCUCUUUUGAUUUGUUGAGACUUUUUUUUUCUUGCUUCGGAGUGAAAACAAAAUAUAUAAAUAAUGUAAACUUAAAAAGGGACUCUGAAGUGAGAAUUUGGUGGAUCUUACGACUGGUCUUCAUUUU